CUUCUCAUCUCAGAAAACCAAUUCUUGGAACGAUACAGAAAAGAUUAGCAUGGCCCCUGCACAAGGAUGACACUCAAAUUCGUGAAGCGUUCCGUAUUUUU
rnacentral:snRNA from 1 species